rnacentral:tRNA from 1 species
UCCGGGGUGGCGCAGCGGUAGCGCAGAGGACUGUUAAUCCUUUGGUCGUGGGUUCGAAUCCCACCCCCGGAGCCA